rnacentral:lncRNA from 1 species
CAUGAUGUGAGCGAGGCAGAUUGAAGAGAGAGAAAGAGAAGGAGCUUAUCAGAGACAGUGAGAGGGACACUGAGUCACAGACGGGGACAUUCAAAAGCACAGAGGAAGGAGAUGCCCAGAGAGACCUGAGGGCCCUCCAGCCUACCCACUCCCAAGUACCUGGAAGAAGCUCUCCACGUGUUCCCUUGGGGCCUCCUCCCGGAGUGCAGGGUCAUACAGGUUGAAGGCCCAAUUAAGCCUGUCAUCUACAGUUCCCCGAAGAAUCACGGACAAACCAGCCACAAAGUCCUGGGAAGGAGGCAGGAGGGAGCUGUGUCCUCGGGUACUCUUCACCCAACUCCUUCUCUGGGUUUGGCCUGGAGAUCCUGGCCCUGAACUCCAGGAAACAGGCUUCCCUGGCCCACCUCGCCCAGCUCACCUCAAAACUGACCGAGCCAUCAUGGUUGGUGUCAAAGGCAUUGAAGAGAAAAGUGGCAUAGGUGCUGGAGUCUGCAGGGUGAGUGUGGAGAAGUUGGCUUCCACACAGGAGAGGACUUCCUCCCUCUAAGGAGCUCCCCAUACCCCCCAUCACCUUGGCAUUCCCAGCUCCUCCAGAAUCCCUCCCUCCCUCAGCCUAGAGAAGGACAACUGCUUCCCCUUGGGCCUUGUCCCCUCACCUCCUUGAGGAAAGAACUGGGAGUAAAUCUGCUUGAAGUUCUCCUCAUUGACAAUUCCGCUGGGACAUUCCUGGAAGGAGAGGGCACCAGGCUGAGGGCAGAGACAAAAUCCCCUUCCGUUCACCGCCCCCACCCUCCAUGGCCCAAGACUCCCAGGGAGGGGGAUAAUCUUCAAGCCUCCAGAGGACUCACCACGUGGCUCAUGUGAUGGGAGGGAAGACUUCUUUCCCAGUGCACAAAUAAAAAACAUGGAACGAAACUGACAGUCUACAGGCGCCACUUCCGUUCUGGCCCCGCCCCAGAACCUCCAGCUAGAAGUUCAGUCUCAGGGCCUUGCCUCCCUUCCGCCCACACCUCAAGCAUCCAAGCCAUGCUUUCUGGGAAGCUGUGGACCGGCUUGGGUCCUCCUGUCCCACCCUCGCUGAGUUUGGCCUCGCCUUGCACUCACGUUCUUGAAGCCCCGGUACAGGACCUGCAACUCCUUGCGCGUGAAUUUGGUUUGCUCCUGCAGCUGCUCCAGACCCUCAGGCCGGUGACACACG